GCCAUAAAUACCCUUUGCUACGUAGUACAUAGGGAUGAUCCUCAUUGGUUAAUGACAAGGCAUAGGUGUGGUUUCUCUUAACCAGGCGAGAACAAAGAAACUUGUUUUCCCGCCUAACCUGGGAGAAGCUGGGGUCAAAGAUCAGAGGCCUUCCCAGCUAUGAGCAAUACUGAGCAUGCUCAAGACUGAACAUGCUCUCUUCUAAGGCAAUCUGUACAUACCAACUGUUCCCCUUGCCCAUAGCUAGGGGUGUACUGCUACAGUGAGGCACAGGAAGUGAGGUAGGGAACAACCUCAGGAAUUUGCUGACUUCCUGUAGAGAGGGCUAGACACCAGUUCGUGUUGGAAGCUUGAACAGAGAGGAGGUCCGCAGACAGCUUCCCUUCAGAUCGGUCACGAAUCUUUGGCUUCAGUCUUCAGCUUGGAGCUUCGACUGGUGACUUAUCUCUUGGAGGUGGCUUUGGACUUGGACUUCAGCUUCCAUUUGGGACCUUGACUUCUUGGACUGCUCCUGGAUCUUCUGCUUUGUACUUCAUCUUGGGCAAGAAGUUGAAAUCUGAUGACAUGAUUCCUUAUAUAGGAACUUCCAUAUAUUCUCAACUUCAAAAUGAAACUUGGAUAUAUACUGUAGAUUCAAUGAUCUCUCCAUGGAGAAGUGUGAGAAGAGAAGCAGUUAAUUCUGGAUUUUAGUCUUUUGGUCAGGCAAGAAGCAUGGAAUACAUUCUAAAAGUGUAGAGUCAGAGGGUUAAGAAUAUUAUAUUACUUGUUGGUUAUGGGAGGGGUGUAGGAGGAGGGAAGGGAAAGAACAUGAAUCAUGUAACCAUGGAAAAAUAUUCUAAAAUAAAUAAAUAAAUAAACUUUUAAAAAAUUUAAA
rnacentral:lncRNA from 1 species